UUUUUCCCUCCACUUGACGACAACAUCGCUUUCUCGCGUUCAUUUUUCAAGCGAACGUCCUUUGCAGUGUCGCGACGCGUGCGCCCAAACUCCCCUCCUCUUCUUUAACGCGCGACAAAGUUUUGCAACGCGGUGGUGGAACACAACAAACCGCGACAGAGAGAGACCGACAGAGGUACACGAGGUUCUUAUGUUUUCGAGUUCCUCGAGAAUAGCCCGCCAAUAUUUUUUACAUUCGGCGACGCGUCGUCGAUGACAUGCACGUGUAGAAUAAGUUUACCGGUGUAAAUAUCGAAGCUCGAUUGUACGUGGUGGAGUUUUAAUCAUUCGCGGCGUUAUGACUUAAGAGAAAGGAAGAAAGAGAGUGUAGUAUCGGUGGAGUUUUGAGUUUUCGGGACCUGAUCCGUCGAAAACUAUUCGGGAACCCCUGACCGCGAGUUUUCCUGGAAGGCUAACCGUGAGAAUGGAUGUAGUGUCGAGUGGACUGCUGAUGCCAGCGAAGGUCGUGGAUAUUACUACCUACCACUCGUCCUUUUAUUCUCCACCACCCACCGAGGCAUCGCGGUCUGGGUACGAUUCUAGCAGUGGCGGAGAGUCAGACGGAGAGUACAGUGCCAGCGUCUGUCGUGGGACCAGUAAUCAGUCUCAGAAUCCAACCUCGUCGAACAGUCAUGGGCAGGGAAAGCACAUAAACAAAGGAAGGUGGACCAAAGAGGAGGACGCUCUGUUGAAGCAGUUAGUGAGCAACGCGGAACAACAGGGUACUUCGGGGCCUCGAUGGGACACCAUUGCAAGCCACUUCCCAGACCGGAGCGACGUGCAAUGCCAACAGAGAUGGGCAAAGGUCGUGAAUCCGGAGCUGGUCAAGGGACCGUGGACGAAAGAGGAGGACGAAAAAGUGGUAGAAUUAGUGGAGCGAUACGGACCAAAGAAGUGGACGUUAAUCGCGCGACAUCUGAAGGGUCGCAUCGGUAAGCAGUGUCGAGAACGAUGGCACAAUCACCUGAAUCCGGGGAUCAAGAAAACCGCGUGGACAGAGGCGGAGGACAGGAUAAUCGUGGAGGCUCAUCGCAGGGUGGGUAACCAGUGGGCGAAGAUCGCAAAAUUACUGCCAGGCAGGACUGACAAUGCCAUCAAGAACCACUGGAACAGCACCAUGAGAAGAAAGUACGAGACUGAGGAGGGGAGAUCCACCACCGGGACCAGAGGGAGAGGUAGGAGGAAAGCCAUAGAAUCUAUGACGUCGAAGGAUUCAUUAUGUACAGAAGACGAUAUCUCGAACCGUCUGAAAGCAGCGUCGACAAGUAACGAGAACGCUACUACGGUGACCAGUGUGCAGACGCACGCGAUGGACAUGGACCAGCUGGAUUGGACCAGAGCUUGGGACAACCAACAGAAUGGUCAAACUUAUCAGGGUCUCCUCGGUUUGAACGAUCGUACACACAGCAACGAAUCCCGUCUGGACUCCCCUUCAAAGAGAGGGACCUCCUCUUCUAGAGUUAAGACUGAAUCAAUCUCAACGUUCACUAAGUAUUUUGACUUGCAAAUACAAGGUGAAGCGACCAGUUCGAAGAGCUCAGAAAUUAGGUUAAUGCCUAUGCCGGACCUGGAAGAGAUUUCGAGUAGCGUAACGGAGAAAGAGAGAAGCAGUCCACCCCCUAUUCUACGUCGACGUAGAAACACUCAGACUCUUCAGCAGAGAACGGAGACCCCCGACAGCGGAAGCCAGUCGGAAUACUUGAUCAUAAGUCAGCAACCAGAAGAGCAGCCUGGCGAUAAUACUCCGUCCACUCCUAUUAAACAACUGCCAUUUAGUCCAUCGCAAUUCCUGAACAGUCUGAGCCCUGAGACUUCUACCUGGCCAAGGGCGAGUACUCCCAAGGGGAGCAGCCCUGGUCCGCUCACCACGCCACAACCUUCCGGUCUUCGGCGAAGUCAGAAUGAUGGCAACACGCCGAGGACCCCAACGCCGUUCAAAAAUGCCCUCGCGGAAUUGGAACGGCGCAGCGGCGCGACUACUCAGUUACCUGCUACUCCCAGUCGUCUCGACGCUCUAACCGAGAUCAUCAAACAGGAAACGGAUCGUGAAAGUCUAGCAGGGACUAGUACCAUCCUUCAGGACUCUGGUUACAGCACGAUACGACGACGGGGUAAGGAGAACAGCGCUCCCGGUGGAAAGAGGGCGCGCAAGGCUCUCUGUCAAGCCUGGGCGAACGCUUCUCAGGAUAAUUCCGAAAUGAGUUUCGUUGUAGAAACACCCAGUAAAAGUUUGGACACAUCGGUAUUGUUCUCACCAGCAUCCAUGGCGUUGGAGGAUAGUUUCUUAACAGCAGGGACUAGUCCCGUGAAGGUAGAGAAUAACCAUGUCCAUAAUCAGAAUCAGAUUCAAUCUCAACCCGCCCUAUCCUGGUUUUAUUCCCGUACCAAUCGCCUUUAGACACGCUAGCCGGCCUUUCUUUUUUUAUUUUAACUUUCUGUUAUUUAACAUCGUCUCUUUUUUUUUCUUUCCUUUGUUUAGUAAUUUUAAUCACGUUGCCUGCAUCGUAACAAGGUUACACGCCUCGUUGCUUCUGUUUCUUUUUGUUUUAUCCUCUUCCUCUUCUCUCUUUUUUAAUUUAUUACUAAAUCAUGGUUUAAACGCCAUCGUUAAACUCUAUCGUCGCCUGGUAUCGUUGAAUCCAAAGAUUAUUAGCGUCCCCUCCCCUUAAACAUCCCCUUAUAAUUGUAAGCGUAUAAAAUAACAUAACUAACAUUAACGACGUAAAAUAUCGUUUGACCUAUAUAUAUAUAUACGAUUAAUUUAUUUUAAAGACGCGUAUGCUUUUUCCUGUUAAAUUAUUUAUGUAUCUAAUACGUUGAUGCUUGAAGCCGUUAAGUGUAACUUACGAUUCCGGUGAAAGAAUCCGGAACAUUCCGCGUUAUUUAAUUAUUAUUAUUUAGUCGCAGAGGUAGUGGACUCGUUAAAGAAACCCAUAAGAUGUACUUAACUUAUUAAUUUUGCGUGUAUCAUGUUUUUUUUAUACAUAUAUAUUUCGUCGUUCAUCAUUCUUCUAUUACAUUCGAAAGAUUCGUACUGUUCGUCUCGAACGAAAAAUCACGAUGUUGUUUCCGAUGUUGUGGCUACAGUCGAUUUUUGUUUCGUUUUUGUUUGCUUCGUUCUUGAUCUUCGUCUUAUCGAUUUCGCUGACAAUAUUAGACUCGUAUUAUUGUCUUCAUUUGUCUUUUUUGUUGAUGUUUUAUUAUUUUCGUGUAAAUUAUUCGUGUAUAUUUGUAACCAGUUUAGGGACGAAGUGAACUGGAAGCAUCCACUUUUUUUAACUUAAUAUUUGUUACUAUCAAAGAUGGUAAUAUUCGAGUGCAACAUGGGCAAGUGAUACACAACGAUUUUGUUCAAUCUUUGGUAUAAUAUUUUUUAGAAUAAUGAUAUUUAAAGAUAUUUGACACACAUUAAAUUAUACCAGAGUUUGUAAAAGAUCGAUGUGAUUUAUCUUGCAUCCCUCGUAAAAGGAAUCAAUGUUGCCUGAACUGUUGUCGAUGCUUUCUAACAGCAAAGUGUCUAUAAUUUAUUGCGCAGGAUUGAUCCUGUUAAUGUACAUACAAUGUAAAGAAGUUGAAGAGAAAAACCAUAGAUUAUAAAAGUGCUGUAAAAACCAUUGAUCGUAUACCAAAUUGUUUACAGUCUCACUUCUGUGUCCCUAGUUUUCUAACUAAUUGCAGUACCAAACGAAAGAAAUGGAUCACCGGUGAUCCAUGCGGUUACGGAACGCGUUAACAUUUACGCUUGAACAUACGUUCGAAAAUAUCCCCGUGACUCCUUCGUCCUUCGAGUGGUUCUCGAAUCCCUUAUAAUUAUGUAUGUAUAUAUAUACACAAGAAUAUAGCGUCUAUUUAUUACUAAAUUAAUAUAUAUGUAUACAUAUAUAUAUUUUGUUUUAAUUCCUUCGAUAAUAACGUUGAGUUGCCGCAUGUUUACAACUAACUCGAACGUAAAAAUGCCUUUGUACAGGCCUGGCCUAGCGUACCAAAGUAUAUCCUUCCCAUCCCAGCCCUGAUUCUUCGAAGUCGACUUCCAAAGACAAUUGUGCGGCGGCUCCAGUGGUCGCGAGAUAUAUGUUUCUUUAAACACGUCACAGAAAUGCGAAAAAGGCCUAGUCAUUCCACGAGACGUAGUUCGCUAGCAUGCGUGUGAAAACGUACCCCAGUGAGAAAAAGACAACGCGUAAGGACAAGCCGACGCGCGGUCUCGUUAUCCUUUCGAACCUCCCACGACUUCGCGUCCGUUCAACGGAAGCCUAACGCCAAGAGAGCGAUCACGUUCGACGCGUUCGACAGUCCCU
rnacentral:misc_RNA from 1 species